rnacentral:rRNA from 1 species
CCGGCGCACGGGUGAGUAACACGUAUCCAACCUGCCGUCUACUCUUGGACAGCCUUCUGAAAGGAAGAUUAAUACAAGAUGGCAUCAUGAGUCCGCAUGUUCACAUGAUUAAAGGUACUCCGGUAGACGAUGGGGAUGCGUUCCAUUAGAUAGUAGGCGGGGUAACGGCCCACCUAGUCUUCGAUGGAUAGGGGUUCUGAGAGGAAGGUCCCCCACAUUGGAACUGAGACACGGUCCAAACUCCUACGGGAGGCAGCAG